rnacentral:lncRNA from 1 species
CUCCAGAAGGAUCCGAGCCCAACGUGGCCGUCACAGUUCCCAAGAUUCUUAGGCAGAGGCUCCUAGAAUUGCCCAAGUACGUAAGUGACUGAGUCAGCUACAGUCCCUCGGAGGUGGCCCAUGUGUCAGUGCUGUGGAGGUGGCUCCCAUCAGGGUGGGCCAGCUGCUUCCUGGCCGGCAGCGUUCCAAGGUGGGAAGCAGAAAGGCUGAGACCCUGUGGAGGAGGCGAGCAGGUGGGGGAGAGGAGGAGGCAUGAGCCUGCCGAGCUGCCCCCAGGUCAGCCCUGGCCUGCUGUGCUCUGGUCUCCACAUUAGGUCCCCUCAGCCUGGCCCUGUGCCCUCCAGCCCCCCAGUCGGCUCUGUGGGCAUAAUAAUCAAGCCUGCUUAUCUAACCUGCUCUGACUUGCGGGGUCAAAUUUUCUUGUCAUAGACUGUGCUCCCCUGCACAAUGGAGACCCACCUACAAUGACAGGGAAAGGUCCAUUCUCAGGUUCAGUCUGGGUUUCUGUCCCUCAUCUGCCAAGCUUUGAUUUCCUCCCCUCUCCAGCCACUGAAUCCGGUGCCCACAUGCAGGAGCGGCUGCCCGUGUGCCCAGAAACUGCCCAGCAGCUCUGCCUCCUGGGAGCACAGCUGGCCUGCUGGGGAGGCAUGGAGGGAGCCCCUCCGCCUUCAGGGAGACACAGAGGCUCCACCACCUUUGGGAAAGCAGUAGAAUAACACCAGCAUCUGCAAGGCAUCCUGGGUAGAGUUGAGGCUGGGGGAUGGUGCCAGUCAGGAAGGCUUCCAGGAAGAGGUGACAGCAGGGAUCAAGGUUGUGGAAAGAAGUAGCCAUGAGAGAUUGUUCUCCUGGACACUAAGGUGCUGGUGGACAGUUGUCCCCUACUGCCUGCCUUCUCAAACUGGGGAAAGCCCCCAACUGCUGCCUGAGAGAGCCAGUGGUGGAUUCCUGCCAGCCUCUCUGGCUGCGCAACCAGGGGACUGGAGUGUCAAGGUCAAACCUCCUAGAGGGUGAGAGCCUGGCACCUUCCCUCAGAGAAACAGCCAGGAGGGGUGAUAGGGUAUUUAACCAGCUGAGGCUGGUGCUGCCUAAUCAGAUGAAUGACCUGAGGGAUGGGUCAGGAAGGCUUUGCGUGGAGCAGGGCACGUGUGCGUCUCCUGUGGACAGCAGGUGCCCCCAGGUCUGGGUGCGCUGAGGCCAAGGGAACGCUCACCAAGAAGGAGGAGCGCACACAGGGGAGGGGCUGCAGAGCCUAGGUCUUCCAGCUGGCCACACCUUUACCGAGAGCCCACUCCAUCCCAGGAGGACUCACACCGAGCUGGUGGAGAAAGCCCACGCAGAAGUCGUCUCAGUGCCGCCCCACCACGUGUCUUGACAGAGGCUCAAAGGGCCGUGGGAGAAGGAGGGCAGAGGACACUCAUUUCUUUACACCCCGCGAGCAGGCCCUUACCAUUUUCCACUAGGAUUAGCGUCUGUCUCUGUCUUUGGUCCUCUGAUCCCUCCCUGGCGCCAUCUGUAGGCGGCUGCAAGACCCAGCGCAAUGCAUUGAGCAAGUGUUAUUCCCCAGGGGAAUGUGAAGGUGAGACCUGGUCCCCAUCCUCAGGAGACAGUAGUAGGUAGUCGCAGAGGGAAGACAGACAGACAGACAACACUGCUCAUGGCACUCCUGCAGCCUGGUUGAUGGAGUCCCCUCUGCCUCUGACACACGCCUGCUGGAUGUCCUCACACAAGCUGCGGAACUGCAGGAGCAUCCAGUUCCUCUAAUUUGCCGCACAGGGUCAUUUUGAGGUAUAAAUGAGCUGGCGUUCACAGAGCACUUGGCAGGUGCCGAGUUGCUUUUCCUUGUUGAUGUUAGAAUGUGGCUGCUUUUAUGUGACCCCAGACUUCCCACUGAAGGGCAGAGGACCCUGACACUGCUUUGUUCUUUUUGAGUACCUGAUACUACAUUAAAAACUAAAGAGUCAAGUGUGAUGGUGCACACCUGUAAAUCCAGCUACUUGGGAGCCUGAGGCAGGAGAAUUGCAAGUUUCAGGCCAAACUGGGCAACUUAUUGAGACCCUGUCUCAAAAUGAAAAAUUAAAAGGGCUGCGGCCUCAGCACUGCAAAAUAAUGAGUGAACAAAUAAACAGCCCAACUCCAGACAAGAUGAGCAAGACCCAAGCCCCUGCCCUUGCAGAGGUUAGAAGACAGUAAGGGACACGAAGAGAAAGAACCAUUCACUGUGAAACUGCUGUGGUCUGCAUCUUUGUGUCCCCUAGAAGUCAUGUGUUGAAACUCAGUCCCCAGUGUGAUGGCGCAGAAGGUGGUGAUUUUGGAAGGUGAGGGGGUCCUGAGAGUGGAGCCCUCAUGAAUGAGAUUGUGGUCUUAUGCAAAGGGUCCCUGAGAGCUCUCCAUGGAGGGACACGGCUAGAAGGUGCCAUCUAUGAGCAGAAAGUGGACCUUCCCCAGACUCUAAGUCUGCCUUCCUCUUGGCCUUCCUAGCCCCCAGUGCUGUGAGAAGAAAGUUCUGUUGCUGUGAGUCACCUGCUUUAUGGUAUUAUUCCAGCAGCCUCAGUGGACUAAGAGCUGUGUGUGCGGGGAGACAGUCCCUUUGGGGUUCCCUGCAGGGCUGGGCUCUGGCACCAGCACAGGGGUCUGUGAAGAGACCAAGGGACAACUCCUUUCUUUCAAGAGUGUUGAGCCUGGUUUUGUUGAGAUGGGAAUGCCAGUGGGGUGACUGUGAGAAAGUUGGGGGUCAGACACUGUCACCGUGAUUUUUCAUCUGCGUGCACCACAGUCUUGGCCUUGUGGGGCAGGUGCCGAGGGACUGCUGGAGGAGUGGCAGGUCCUGCUCACAGUUUUGAGUAGCCCGACCUGCGAGGGGCUUCUGGGCAUUGGGUUCAGGGCAGCAUCUCCCUGGGUUGUAGAGUUCAACAAGGUAAGACCUUCCGGAAAAUGCCAGAAGCCCGUUUUGCCAGAGCUACUACCCUGUGCAUGGGUGUGCAUGUAUGUGUAUGCAGUAUGGACACGUGAGUGCCCCUCGACCCCCACCAGGGCCCUUAUCCUGGGCAUUCAGUAGGCGCUGACAAUUAAUGGCGCCCAAUGCAAUGAGUGACACCUUGUAAAACAAUCUCAAUUACCAGAUAACCAAAUUCCGCGCAGUUGCAGGAAGGAUAAGAGCAAAACACGGGGGCUGUGAGCAAAUGAUAGCCCAGAGCUGCCCGGGGCAGCGGGGGAGCCACAGCCGCUCCUUUCCUCCCAGCUCAGAACAGAGCCUGGCGGGGCCGGGCUGCUCUGCUGAGGGAAGCCAGUCCUUUCCCACGGAGAAGCAGCCGGGGAGGAAGAGCAGAGAUAAGCGGGUCCCUCAAGUGAGGCAGAGCGCAGCGGAAUAUGUGCCCUGGCCCUGCGGGGGGCUGCAGGAGCUGGGAGGAGACUUCAGGCCCUACCCGGGAAGGAACCCCACUGCCUGCUGGGCUGGUGGGGUGACAGCCACCUGUAAAGGCCGCCUGCCCAUACACAGUGAGAGCCCUUGUCCUCACUGUGGACACUGGGGUUCGCCAAGCCCUUCUCUGAGCAGCCUCCGGGGCUCUGAUGCAGCAGCGCCUGCUCCCCAAAAACCCUUGUCAUUUCCAGCACUUUCCCUUUCACUGGAAGGGGGGAGGGGAGUGGUUUUUAUGGGUCUCAUUUUCAAUUUAAAUCAAC